UCUUGGUCAAUUAGAGGAAGUAAAAGUCGUAACAAGGUUUCCGUAGGUGAACCUGCGGAAGGAUCAUUAUCGAGUUAGGGUCUUCAUGGCCUGACCUCCAACCCUGUGUUUAUCAUACCACGUUGCUUCGGCGGGUCCGUCUUUUAUCGGACCGCCGGGGGGUCGCGAGACUUCCUGGCCUGCGCCCGCCGAUGGCCCCCAAAUAUAAACUCUGUAUAACCAUGUUUGUCUGAGUUCUUAAAUUAAAUAAAAACAAAACUUUCAACAACGGAUCUCUUGGUUCUGGCAUCGAUGAAGAACGCAGCGAAAUGCGAUAAGUAAUGCGAAUUGCAGAAUUCAGUGAGUCAUCGAAUCUUUGAACGCACAUUGCGCCCUUUGGCAUUCCGAAGGGCAUGCCUGUUCGAGCGUCAUUAUCAACCCUCAAGCCUGGCUUGGUGUUGGAUUAGACCCCCUACACGGGCGGGUCGAUCCCAAAGAUAAUGGCGGGUCGAGUGAGACCUCGGUACAAUGAGCUCGUUAAACAGCACGUAUCGUCAGGGAUCACUCGGCCUGGCCUAACCCCCAAAUUUUACAAGGUUGACCUCGGAUCAGGUAGGAAUACCCGCUGAACUUAAGCAUAUCAAUA
rnacentral:rRNA from 1 species